rnacentral:rRNA from 1 species
GACGAACGCUGGCGGCGUGCCUAAUACAUGCAAGUCGAACGCAGUGGGGACGGGUGAGUAACACGUGGGUAACCGCCCAUCAAAGGAGAGAACACUUAGAAAAAGGUGCUAAACCGAUAUUGAUGUAGGGACCCGCGGUGCAUUAGCUAGUUGGUGAGGUAACGGCUACCCAAGGCCACGAGGCAUACCCGAUCUGAGAGGGUGAUCUGCCACACUGGGACUGAGACACGGCCCAGACUCCUACGGGAGGCAGCAGUAGGGAAUCUUCGGCAAUGGACGAAAGUCUGACCGAGCAACGCCGCGUGAGUGAAGAAGGUUUUCGGAUCGUAAAACUCUGUUGUUAGAGAAGCGGUAUCUAACCAGAAAGCAACGGCUAACUACGUGCCAGCAGCCGCGGUAAUAC